rnacentral:rRNA from 1 species
UACGAAGGGUGCAAGCGUUACUCGGAAUUACUGGGCGUAAAGGGUGUGUAGGCGGUUGUCUAAGUUUGGUGUGAAAUCUCCCGGCUCAACUGGGAGGGUGCGCCGAAUACUGAAUGACUAGAGUGCGGGAGAGGAAAGUGGAAUUCCUGGUGUAGCGGUGAAAUGCGUAGAUAUCAGGAGGAACACCGGUGGUGUAGACGGCUUUCUGGACCGUAACUGACGCUGAGACACGAAAGCGUGGGUAGCAAACAGG